AGUGCUGGGAUUACAGGCCUAAACACCUUCCUCCCCUUUCCCUAUGUCCUGCACCUCUUCUUACCUAAGUGUAUCGGCACCUGAUUGUCCAGCUGAAUCAUUUUAUUCCGCGUGGGAGCCCGAGUUGGUGUGAUCGUUUAUAGUACUAUGUGUGCUCACCCUUGAGUGGUUGUACUAUUGUGUUAUUAGCCCCCUUUUAUGGAUGGAGGAACUGACACACAGUUGUUGGGGGAAAAGCCAGAAUCCAGAGUCACACAGCCUGGCUCUGUGUUCUCCGACACUGCUGCCUGCACUGCGGCUGCUAUCGGGGAGCAGGUGCUGGGAACCUGCUGCUUAGGGGACAGCUAGUGUGGCUGCAUCUACAGGCCCUAGUAUGGAACACAUUGCUAAGAAGCAGGCUCCUAGCACAGCCCCGUGGACUGUGUUGGUGGCAUUCAGAGGCCACCUUCCUGCCUCGGCUGCAUUCACUAAAAUGAAAAUUACCAGGACUUUGUGCUUUUCAGGGAAAGCCUGGCUGCCUCCCACUGUGUCCUUGAAAGCUUGGCGUUCCAGCCCUGCCUGGUUAUCACCACCUAUGAAAUCCAUUUACUUGUUACACCAGCGGUUCUCAAGUCUGGCUGCACACUGGAGUCAGCUUUAAAAAAUACUGAAGCUUUGGGUUCCACCCUGAGGUUCUGAAUUAAUUGACCUGGGGUGAGUCCUGAUAUAGAAGCUUCAGAAGCCUCCCAGGUGAUUCUAAUGUGGCCAAGUUUCGGAAUCAUUGCUUUAAACUUUCAACUUACCUUUUUUUUUGAAGACAGAGUCUCGGUUUGCUGCUCAGGCUGCAGUGAUCACAGCUCACAACUCCUGGGCUCAAGUGAUCUCUCCACCGCAGCCUCCUGAGUAGCUGGGACUACAGGGACCAUGUCACCAUGCCCAGCUAAUUUUUUACUAUUUUUUUUUUUCAGCUGGGUGCAGUGGUCUUAAAAACCGAGGUUUCAAGACAGAAAUUUCACCUGUGAAAUGACAGCUUCACCCAAGCCCCUGGAGUUCCAGCCUGCUGCUGGCCAUUGUCCCUUCCCACUGGCAGCCCUGUGAAUUUCAGACGUGCUUAUCCAGGCCCCACAAUCAGAGGCCAGUUAUUACUUUUGAGAAAGGCUCUCACUGUGUCACCCAGACUGGAGUGCAGUGGUGCGAUUUUGGCUUAUGGCAGCCUUGACCUCUGGGGCUCAAGCAAUCCUCUGGCCUCAGCCUGCUGAGUAGCUGGGACCAUAGCUACGCCGACAUGCUUGGCUAACUUUACCUCUCCUUAUUGGUUCUGCUUCUCAGGUUAAAUCCUGACAUUAACAAUGAACAAGAAUGUCCACAAGAGGGCUCCCCAGCUCCCUGACUGUGCAUUGGAACGCGCAACUCAAGAUACUUCUUUUAGGGAGAAAAAUCAAGUAAUAGAAUAUGGGACCUCUUAAGGUGCAGAUGGCAACCACAGUUUCUCAUCUCUUUAUUUUUUUUGAGACGGAGUCUCACUCUUGCCCAGGGUGAAGUGCAGUGGUGUGAUCUUGGCUCACUGCAACCUCCACGUCCUGGGUUCAAACGAUUCUCAUGCCUCAGCCUCCUGAGCAGCUGGGGUUACAGGCGCAUGCCACCAAGCCCAGCUAAUUUUUUAUUUUUUUUCGAGAUGGAGUCUUGCGCUGUCACCCAGGCUGGAGUGCAGUGGCGCAAUCUUGGCUCACUGCAACCUCCGCCUCCUGGGUUCAAGUGAUUCUCCUGCCUCAGCCUCCUGAGUAGCUGGGACUACAGGUGCCUGCCACCACGCCUGGCUAAUUUUUGUAUUUUUAGUAGAGAUGGGGUUUCAACAUAUUGGCCAGGCUGGUCUCAAACUCCUGACCUUGUAAUCCACCAGCCUCAGCCUCCCAAAGUGCUGGGAUUAGAGGCAUGAGCCACCGCACCCGGCCU
rnacentral:lncRNA from 1 species